rnacentral:rRNA from 1 species
AGGCUUAACACAUGCAAGUCGAGCGCGUAGCAAUACGAGCGGCAGACGGGUGAGUAACGCGUGGGAACGUACCCUUUACUACGGAAUAACGCAGGGAAACUUGUGCUAAUACCGUAUGUGCCCUUUUGGGGAAAGAUUUAUCGGUAAGGGAUCGGCCCGCGUUGGAUUAGCUAGUUGGUGGGGUAAAGGCCUACCAAGGCGACGAUCCAUAGCUGGUCUGAGAGGAUGAUCAGCCACAUUGGGACUGAGACACGGCCCAAACUCCUACGGGAGGCAGCAGUGGGGAAUAUUGGACAAUGGGCGCAAGCCUGAUCCAGCCAUGCCGCGUGAGUGAUGAAGGCCCUAGGGUUGUAAAGCUCUUUCACCGGAGAAGAUAAUGACGGUAUCCGGAGAAGAAGCCCCGGCUAACUUCGUGCCAGCAGCCGCGGUAAUACGAAGGGGGCUAGCGUUGUUCGGAAUUACUGGGCGUAAAGCGCACGUAGGCGGACAUUUAAGUCAGGGGUGAAAUCCCGGGGCUCAACCUCGGAACUGCCUUUGAUACUGGGUGUCUUGAGUGUGGAAGA